rnacentral:sRNA from 1 species
AAAAAAAAUGAAAAAA